rnacentral:lncRNA from 1 species
AAUACAAUUAAGAAGCAUAUCUUUUAUUUGAUUUACAUUCACAUAGACAUAAGUACGAUGGUCUUGUCUUGAACACAACAUCAUAAGUAACAUAAAGCAUUGAAGUGCAAGAGCAAAGACUACUGAUUCAUUGCUAGGAAGUUGUAAACAUGACAAUGCAAGAAAACACAAAGCAGAAUCUCUUAUUAUUUAAGCAGUAAUAAGAUAAGAGAGGAUAUUGCAUGUUCUAGGCAUGGUUGUUGUCCUCCACUGGAGGAUACUUCCCAUAAGGUGGUUUCUUGUAUGGUGGCUUUUCGUAUGGUGGCUUGUAGUAAGGUGGUUUUGGCUUGUAAAUAGGAGGCUUGUAAAUUGGAGGCUUGUAAAUUGGAGGCUUGUAAUAGAUGGGAGGCUUGUAAAUGGGAGGCUUCUUGAUUGGUUUGUAAUAAGUAGCAAAACCUUGAGGAAUGAGGAUUAGGGCAGCAAGAACAAACACCAGAAAGCUUGAAAAGGAAGCCAUGUUAAAGAUUGGUGUGCAUAACAGACUGAGUAAUGUGUUCAUAUAUAUAGUAGUUAGGAGGGGUCAUUGUAGGUGUAAGGUCUAAAUCUAGGUCAUUAAUGAUUUGCUUUGUCAUAUUAUGGUAUUUGCCAAAGUUCGGUGUGAUUAUUCAAAAUUGAUUUAGAAAUUAUACAUUGAUAUACACAAAUAUUUUACAUUCAUUUAAUACUUGUUAUUUUUUACUCAAUUGUGCUAAAAAAUAUUUUUUAUAGUAAUUAAAAUCCAUGAGAUAUAAAAAAUGAAGCAGUGACACUAUUAUAGAUAUGAAAAGUUUUUUUAUUUGGAUUGGACUUAGAACUGAUGUAAAAAGUGGCUCAGUAACAAAAUUGUAAUAAAUUACAAUUUUUUUAUACCAAUUACACUCAUAAUUGAAUAGAAAGUCGAUUUUCUAUACUAGUUAGACUUAGAACCGAUAUAGAAAGUGUGGUGGUAACAAAACUAUAAUAUUAAACAAACUUUUCUAUAUUCAUUGCAAUCAGAACAAAUAUAGAAAGUUGUUUUUCUAUCCUGGUUAGUCAAUAUAACCGGGAUAUAAUAUUUAAUAUUCAUCUCCUUCUUCUUUUUGCGCUUCAAUUUCGCAAAACUCUUUUUCUUGUUCUCUCUAUGCUUCACCUUCAUUACUUUUCGCUCUCUCUGUGCUUGGCUUCCAUUCAUUCUUGGUCUCUCUACGUUUCCAAUAGUUCACUAAAGUCGCUUGUGCUAUCGUUUGUGGUUGUUGUUUUUGUCAUCGCUGUGGUCGUUGUUUGUUGUCGAUUUUUUAGUCGCGGUGGUUGUUGAAGUUAUCACUGUUGUAGGUCAAGUUGUGGUUCAUCUUUGUCAUCAAUGGUUGGUAUUGCAGUGCCUAUUUUCAUGGAGGUUGGAGUCGUUGUUGUGGUGUCAUUGUUAUCACUGCAUUUUUUCUUCCUCUUGCGUUGAAGCUUUCUUGGUUGCGUUGUUGGUGUUGUAGUAGUGUGGUGAGUAACACUAAAGCUUCCUUGUGUGGUAUGGUAGGUCGUUGCACGUGGUGUUUUUUUGAUCGUUUUGUUGUGGUUCUUGGCAAAUUUUAAACCUUAAUUUACUAUUGUUGAGGAUGUUGUGUUUUGACGUAUUUAUUGUUACAUUGCAUUCGUUGGGAGGAAAAUUUAAUAUUGUGAGGUUUUCCAUUUUUUGGAGCUUUCCAUGUUUGUGUUAUUGCAUUCAAUUGGUGUGAUUACUCUUUUGUGUUAGAAUUUAUGAGAAAAAAGUGAGGUAUAAAAAUCAAUAGGUUUGAAUCUCUACAAAUGAUGAGGCUGCAAGUGAGUAGAUUUUUGGUGGUGAUCAAAAUCACCAAAUAAGUUGUAGGCAAAAGAAAAAUGGAGAUCAAUACGAGUCCUAAUUAGAAAGACUAUUUGGGAAUGAGAUAUCAAUCUCUUAAAUACGUUGAAGUGAAGCGUAUUGAACUAAAUCCAUUGAUUAAUUCUUUAUGUUGUGGUUUGGUAUGACUAAGUUCACAUAUUGGACUCAUGUUUAACUGUUUCUUAGAUCUACCUAAAAGUAGAGGUGUUGGUUUUUACAUAUAAUAAUGGAUAGGUGUUGAAUAAAUUUUAUACGCAUAACAAAUGAAUAUGGGAGCAGAGUAGAACAAUUUCUUGAGUUUGCAAAGACAAGUGUUCUAGACAAUAACAAAAGAUUUUAUUGCUCAUGUGUUAAUUGUUUGAAUGGAUGAAAACUAUCAACUGAAGUUCUUUGGGAGCAUGUUGUUCUCCUAAAGUUACACAAAAUGGACAUGACAUAGUGAAUUAAUAGACACACCUAGUGCAUCCAGAAUGCACUAAGUAUACUUUAUUGUCAAUGGUAUCAAAACACUUUGGAGUCAUAUUAUAUGCAUUUGGAGUCAUAUAAUAUGCAUUUGCAUUCUUAAGAGAAGAUUCUCGUGAUUCUUGGAUUAUAACACUGAUUCUUAUCAAAGAUUAACAUCUUUCUGGAGAACUUUCACUCGACUUAUUAAUCUGCUAGAUUGUGGCUUCCCUAUCCUUGUCUCAUUCUGCAUUCUUCUAUGAUUUAUUCAAGAGAUAGUCCUCUAUUAUACCUUUUUUUCUUAAAAAGAAUUUUUCCUCAAAUUUGUAUAACUUAAAUAUUCCUUAUCAUUUUAAGAAGUUAGAACAACUAGAAAAUGAGGUUGUGGUCAUAUUAUGCCUAUUAGAUAUGUACUUUACACACACGCAGACAAGGACACACACACACAGACUCACAAAUACACAGUCACACACACAAACACACACACACACACAUAAACACACACACACACACAUACAUAAAUGGACAUGCGCGCGCACACACAAAGACACACACACCCAGAAACACACAUACAUAGACACACACACACCCACAAACACACAUACAUAGACACACACACACACACAAACACAAACACACAUACACACAAACAUAGACACACACACCCACAAACACACAUACACACAAACAUAGACACACACUCCCACAAACACAAACAUAAACAUACACACAAACACACACACACACACACAAACAAAUUGACAUACAGAUAGACACAUACAGACACACAAGAAGUCAUCCCAAAAGAAGUCAUCCCCUUCUUAAGUGCUCAUAAAUAUAUUGUUAAAAGAAAGAAAUAAUCCACGAAUACUUCAGAAGUUGGUUAUUAAUGAGCACAACAAAACCUUUUUAAAGUGGUUCAAACAACAUGUUCAAGCUUACCAUACAACCUCUGACACAUUAAAUUGAAUACCAAGUGAACCAAACUUUGAUGUCAUAUGUUGGAGUGGGUAUGAUAUGAAAAAUUAUACAUUUCAUACAAAGAAAAUGAAAAAAAAAACACCACUCACAAUAAUGGAGUAAUAGUUGUGGUUGAGUCAAUGCAUUUCUUGAGUUCAAAGGAUAAAAAUCCUUUUAUGGCAUCAAUGUGCUACUUUCGUGUUAUGGAAGAUAUUUGGGUGAUAGAUUACACAAGUUUCAGAGUACUUAUUUUUAAAUGGGUUGAUUGUAAUAUUGGCAUAAGGACCAAUGAUCUAAGUUUUACAUUGUGCAGAUAUUACAAUUCUUGUUGCUUUCUUGAUGCCUUGGAGAUUUCUUGAGACCUUUGAAUGUUUCUUGUUGUGUACUUGUACUUAAACUCAAUGCUUUGUUAGAAUAUUGCAAAUGAAAUUCGUAAUGAGACAGGUUUCAAUAUAGAUAUAUAUAGGAUAUGACAUUCUGGUGUAGUUUAAUUGAUUAGAUAAAAACCUUAAUCGAUUAAGCCGAAGUUUAUGUUUCAAUGACAUUAUGGUGCAGUUUAAUCGAUUAGGUAAAACCUUAAUUGAUUAGGCCAAAGUUUCUGUUUUAAUCGAUUAGGUUAUUAAUGUUAUCAAUUAAAACAGACAAUUUUGUCAUUUUUUUCUUCUUAUGAGUUCUGACAUGCUUUAACUGAUUGCUAACUAACAUAAUGGAUUAAUAGCAUCAAAAUUGCAGAUUGUAAACUGUCUAACCCAGUUACAUUCAUCUAUACAUGAUAUAUGUAUCUAACAUGAUUUUCCUAUGAUUUUAAACAUUGAUCCAUCAAGAAAGAACAUAUGAUUAAUUCAUCAUCAAAAACAUUUUACCAAAUUUAGAAGGGAAAAGCUCCCCCUUUCAACACUAACCGGUAUAAAAAGUUACUUUUUAUAUACAAAUUUAUCUCUUUCCUAAUAAACUUUUUAUAUCGGUUUCAGAUUCAGUAUAAAAAGUCAAAUACUUUCUAUACCGAUUCAAAAACUGGUAUAAAUUUUUUUUAACUCAUAUAAAAAAGCUUUUCUGAUAUAGUGACUCUUCCUUUUCUUUUUAAAAUAUAAAAGUUUAUGUUUUUAAGACUAUUUUAAUCUUAUAAUAUGUGUCAAAUGAAUAUAAAUGUAUCUUAUCCUACUAUGACUUGAUUUAGACCCUUUAGUCUUGUGUGGCAUUGUUGCAAAUCAAGAAUCUCAACAAAAUCUAUAUAUUUAUCCAUAAAGAUCUCUAAAGAAAUAUAUAAAAAAGGAAAACCCAAAAAUUAAUUUUUUUAUAAAUUACAAUAAUUUAUACGAGUUAGAAAUAAAAAAAAAAAUUGGUAACAAAGUUUUUUCAAUCAGUUUAAUCACUAAUUUCAUUUUUCGUAUUUUUUGUUUUAAAAGUUCUUGAAGAAAGAACUCGUACAAGAUUAAAUAUAUUUUUAAAAUGUAAAUUAAUUUAUGUAUACUAUACACAUAUAUACAGACUAUAUUACAUUUUGAUUUAUAUUUUAAUGAUAAAUUAAAAGUAUUAUUUUAAUUUAUUUAAAUACGACUACUAAUUUAAAUUCAAACAGAAAAAAUUAAAUAUAGUGGUGUUCCUUUCAAAUUAAAUUGAAACAUUCGAAACUUUUAAAUAUUAUUAAAAAUAAAAUAAUAUAUACGUUAAAAGAAGUUCUAUGAAUGUUUCUAAUCCAUAGAAUUUUAUAUGGUUUAUGAGUUGUUUUUAUCUUGUGAAUUUUUUUAAUAAAGGAUUUAUUUCAGCUGUCAGUUUUUUUAAUCCAAAUUCAUAUGGUGAAAUCCUAUAAAAUAAUACUAUAAAAUGCACUAAGACGUAUCUAAUUAACCAUAAACAUAAAGGUCUUUUUAUUCAUAAUUUUGUAGUACAAUUAAGAAGCAUAUUUUUUAUUUGAUUUACAUUCACAUAGACAUAAGUCUGAUGGUCUUGUCUUGAACACAACAUCAUAACUUACACAAAGCAUUGAAGUGAGCAAAGAAUACUGAUUCAUUCAUUGCUAGGAAGUUGUAAACAUGACAAUGCAAGAAAACACAAAGCAGAUUCUCUUAUUAUUUAAGCAGUAGUAAGAUAAGAGAGGAUGUUGUUGCAUGUUCUAGGCAUGGUUGUUGUCUUCCACUGGAGGGUACUUUCCAUAAGGUGGUUUCUUCUUGUAUGGUGGCUUUUUGUAUGGUGGUUUGUAGAAAGGUGGUUUUGGCUUGUAAAUGGGAUGCUUAUAAAUAGGAGGCUUGUAAAUUGGAUGCUUCUUGAUUGGUUUGUAAUAAGUAGCAAAACCUUGAGGAAUGAGAAUUAGGGCAGCAAGAAGUAACACCAGAAAGCUUGAAAAGGAAGCCAUUUUUAGGGUUGGUGUGUUAGCAGACUGAGUAAUAUGUUAGUAUAUAUAGUAGUAAGGAAGUUCAAUGUAUUAUGUAGGUGUAAUGUCUCAAUCUAGGUCAUUAAUGAUUUGCUUUGUCACACUUUGAUAUUUGCCAAAGUUUGGUGUGAUUAUUCAUCAUUGAUUUAGACCCUUUGGUCCCA